rnacentral:tRNA from 1 species
GCCCCGGUAGUGUAGCCCGGCCCAGCAUCCCGGAUUUUCGAAUCCGGAGACUUGCGCUCAGGGUAAAACCAUCCGGCGACCCGGGUUCGAAUCCCGGCCGGGGCACCA